CUGUGUUGGCCAGAACUGCAUACAAUAUUCUAACCGCUGAUUUGUAAAGUGAAGGAAUUAGGUAUUCUGCCAAGAGAAGAGAAAUUAGGUUUUCGUGCAAAGCGCGUGUCCCAGGAGAACGAGCUGCCGGGGUGACCGGGAUAGCCAUGCCUCGCUCUGCUACGCCAACCUCACCUCAACGAUAGCUCAGAUCCAAUUAGGUAAAACUAAAGCGAAGGUGGGGUGAAAUCUGAAGGAUCCACUUCGAGCGUGAGUGAGCCAGUGACCAACGUAGAUGGAAAGGCAAUGGAUGUUUCUCGCACUCACAUUCCUACAGCACAGAUAUCGUCUUGUGCUUGACUGAAGGAUUCUACCCCUAGUGAAUCUGUUGCUGAUUCAGCUUUAGAAGAAUGAGUCAUAGCCUUCAUCCUGAACUUUUAUAGCAUCUGGAUUUUCCCAUUCUGUUCACACGCAACUGAGGAACACACACAACACACUCUUUGUGCCACACGAGGCAACCUUUGUCAUCAUGGGAUGUGUGAUGUGUUCUCCCCUGGCUGAAAUGUGGGGCUUCUCUUCAAAGGAGCACCGGAGGAAUAAUUGCAUGGAGCUGUCGCUUUUCCCCAACUCAUGUCUCUCACAGUACCAGAGGGUCUCGGGGUUACAUUACUUGUCCUCUUUCUCUGAGGCAGAGGACUGCUGUGAGGAGAGUUCUGCAUCUGGAGACUCAGAUUCUGAGAUGACCUGAGUGAGGAUUAUGAAAGAUGAAGCAACACUGAGAAUUGAACUGGAUUACUGGUAUUAAAUCAAUCUCCUUUGUGUGAUUUUACCGCAUAAAUAGGACUUUUUUCCCCCUUUCUCUUGCCCAGUACUCAAAAUGAGAAAUAAAUGCAAGUGAAGAAGAUACAAAUCGGCCAGGCUUUUGGGAUUAGAUUGCUGUCCUGUUCUGUAGUUUGGUUAUGAUAUCUAUCACUGCUAAGUAAUCAGCAGACAUAACAACAGCUGGCUUAGAGUGUUCCCUUCUGAUGGAAGAGUGUUUCAAACCUUAUAUUAACAUUUGGAUGAGGUAUGGUGGCUCCACAGCCUUCCAGGAAUCUUUGGAGUGGAGUGACGGAGUAAAUGAAAGAAUGACAGAGCGAAUGGACUCUAGUGGAGAAUUAAGUACAGGCUAAAGCCAUUUGGCUCCUUAUGCUUGCCAUCGAAUUAGAUCAGAGGUGCACAACUCAGCCUGCAGGGUCACAUGUAGUCCAAUCAACACACUCAAAUGAUAACAGAUUCAAAGCAAUUUUUACAUGGAUACACAGAGUGUAAGUUGGAUGGAUGCAGCCCUCGUAACAUAGUGAGACCCACAGGAACAGCUACUUUGGCAAUUAGAUUGAGAACCAUUGAAUAAAUAAUAGCUGAUCUGUUCCUUAACUCCAUCCAUUCACUUAGGCUCUCAAAUUUGUCUAAAUGCUCAGUCACUCGAUCCAAAAUGAAAAUAUUUACUAAGUUCCCAUAAGUGAUAAAAGAUAAUUUAUUUGUUUAUUUUCAUGCCUUCCUAAUUAAUGGCUUUAGCAUUUUCCCAUCCAAGGGGAUAAUUUCUGAAUCACUGAAGUUUUGGAGAAUCUGGACAAAUGAAUCUGGACAAAUUUCCUCACCUUUUAGUACCUCGGAUGGAAAUCUUUGGGUCUGGGUGAUUUGCCUUUCUUUAACCAUUUUUGUCAUAGAGGUUAAUUGUUGCUUGUAUUUUUGUUGGACUGAGGGUACUGUGUGACUGAAGGUUUAGAUCCUGUUGUGAUGUUCCUUUCAUCAACAUGAAGUUAUAAGCCUGAAUAUAUUCCUUCUAGUAGUGUCUGUGUAUGUGAUCUAAAUGUAUAAAGGAGCAACGAAAACUUUUACAGUCAUAAUGAAUAGAAUAAGCAGCAUAACCUGUCAGUCAACAGAUUAGUAUUGAAUAUUAUUACAGUUAAAGGGUUAAUUAUGGAUUCCUUGUCAACUCAAUUACAGCUGAAGAAGAGCCAAAGUAAUUGACUAAAUGUCCUGAAGUUAUUAAACAUCAAAGGUGACCCUGAAGGUGGGAGGAUAUUGAA